UAAGGAAAUUACGAGAUUCAAACUCCCAAACCCUUUGUGACCUUACCUAUCGUUGCUUCGGCGGGAUCGCCCCGGCGCCUUCGGGCCCGGAACCAGGCGCCCGCCGGAGGCCCCAAACUCUUAUGUCUUUAGUGGUUUUCUCCUCUGAGUGACACAUAAACAAAUAAAUAAAAACUUUCAACAACGGAUCUCUUGGUUCUGGCAUCGAUGAAGAACGCAGCGAAAUGCGAUAAGUAAUGUGAAUUGCAGAAUUCAGUGAAUCAUCGAAUCUUUGAACGCACAUUGCGCCCGCCAGUAUUCUGGCGGGCAUGCCUGUUCGAGCGUCAUUUCAACCCUCAGGCCCCCAGUGCCUGGCGUUGGGGAUCGGCGUGGGCGGCGACGGCUCUCCGGAGCCCGAGCCAAUGCCUGCCGGCCCCGAAAUUCAGUGGCGGUCUCGCUGUAGUCCCCCUCUGCGUAGUAGCACAACUCGCAUUGGAGCUCGGCGGUGGCCAUGCCGUAAAACACCCCACUUCUGAAAGUUGACCUCGGAUCAGGUAGGAAUACCCGCUGAACUUAAGCAUAUCAAUAAGCGGAGGAA
rnacentral:rRNA from 1 species